UGGAGUUUAGGAUUUAGGGUUUAGGGUUUAGGGUUUAGGGUUUAAGGUUUAGAGUUUAGGGUUUAGCGUUUAGAGUUUAGGGGUGGGGUUUAGGGUUUAGGGUUUAGAGUUAAGGGGUGGGGUUUAGGAUUUAGGGUUUAGGAUUUAGGGUUUAGAGUUUUGGGUUUAGAGUUAAGGGGUGGGGUUUAGGAUUUAGGGUUUAGGAUUUAGGGUUUAGAGUUUAGAGUUUUGGGGUGGGGUUUAGGGUUUAGGGUUUAGAGCUAAGGGGUGGGGUUUAUGAUUUAGGGUUUAGGGUUUAAGAUUUAGGAUUUAAGGUUUAGGGUUUAGAGUUUAGGUUUUAGGUUUAGAGUUGGGGAGUGCGGUUUUGGGAUAAGAUUUCAAAUUUUGUAAAAUAAAAAAAUUUUAAAU
rnacentral:lncRNA from 1 species